UACGUAGGGUGCAAGCGUUAAUCGGAAUUACUGGGCGUAAAGCGUGCGCAGGCGGUUUCGUAAGUCUGUCGUGAAAUCCCCGGGCUUAACCUGGGAAUGGCGAUGGAGACUGCGAGGCUAGAGUUUGGCAGAGGGGGGUAGAAUUCCACGUGUAGCAGUGAAAUGCGUAGAGAUGUGGAGGAACACCGAUGGCGAAGGCAGCCCCCUGGGCCAAUACUGACGCUCAUGCACGAAAGCGUGGGGAGCAAACAGG
rnacentral:rRNA from 1 species